UCUCCCACGCAUGCAAGGCUCCUCUCCCCCACAUUCUCGGCCUCAUCUCCCACUGUCUCACGGCGGCAACACCCCACUGCUCGUCCGCCUCCUCCCCUUCUUCUCGUCAAUGUCGUUGGGUCAGGAGCGGGUAAACGACAUCCAGGAGUCUCGGCGGUGUGUGCAGACGGGGUUGCAGCGCCAGGGCUCUGCAUCUGAUGGAGGGUGGCAUCGUGAUCCGGAGCACUGUCGGGAAGGAGAUGCUAGGAUCAUCCUUCACGGGAGGGGCUGAAGCAGUUCGCCUCGAUGGGCGGCCGAGGAAGGUGGAUCGGGUCAUCGACUCUUCUUCUGAAAAAGAAGACCUCCCUUACAGGUGCAAGCGGAUGAGUCGAUGCGCCCGAAUGAGGGCUACAGAGGACGUCGAAUUCCAUGCACUACCGCCGCCUGAUUCUGCUACCGUGAUGUUUUCUUUCCUUCUUUUUUUUCUCAUAGUUCCACAUCGGAUGUAUGUCUCUUGGACUCUUGGCAGGGAGGAGAAAUUAUUUUACAUGGGGAACGCAAGAUACAUGGAGAAGAUGCACCGCUGCUGAAGCGUCAGCUGUACUGACAAUACUACCAAGGGAGAGUUCAUAUUGUUUGGAGAAAUCGGAGAACCACUUGUUGGUAAAUAGAAAGCUCCCCCGAACGCCACCAUGACCAGGUUGUUCCAUGUCUACAACAAGUAGCAUGACUGGAAGGCUAGAAACAAAAUGCGAUUCAAUUAUGGUGUGUGUCAUAAGUAUAAUAUGUGAAGCUGGUUGCAUUUUAGAGAUUGAACAACACCUGCCUCAUGUUUGUAUGGAAUGAUGACAACAUACUUUGAAUAAACAGGUUGCUCUCAGAGUGUAAAGAUUCAAUGUUGAUGCAUUAAGUCCAGCACACAUGUCACACUCAUGUCAGCACCAGAACAGGAAUUAGUCCUCAGCCAAGGUUUCUGAGAAAAGCUUUCAGGGGUAUCCAGUUGUCACAUGGUCUGGACUCUGGAGUUGGACUACGAAAAUGACUAGGUUGACAAAUUGUUCUGGGAGGCGAUGGAACUGAGGAAUGUUUGUAUCUUCUGUUGAGCUGAACUAAUCGAUGAUGACUGGAUGAGUUUCUUGGAAAGACGGGGAUGCAGAUUGGCAUGCCAAGGUCCAAGACAGACCGAGAGCUUCCACAUCAAAAAUUGUAUUGGGGCAUGCCGGUGGGAGAAGAAUGUACAAAGAGAACGACGACGGAAGCUUAGAAGAAUUUGACCGUGAUUGGGAUGAUAAGAUUGGACUGCAACUGUAUGGCAAAGGAGAAGGGUUUCUGAUAACAGGUACUACUUCAGGCAGAUUCAGAUUAAUCCAUGUCCAUUAAAAAGACUCAAGAUAAGUUGAGUGCAACUAUGUAGGGAUGCAUGUGUUGUAACCUGGCCACUAGCAUAAGAACCAUGGACUGUGAAUGUAACAUGUAACUUUUGCUUUUUUCCUAUAGCCCGAUUGACUAUGGAUACCUAAUACAAAUGAACUUACUACACUGUUU